GUGGGGAAUCUUGCGCAAUGGGCGAAAGCCUGACGCAGCCAUGCCGCGUGAAUGAUGAAGGUCUUAGGAUUGUAAAAUUCUUUCACCGGGGACGAUAAUGACGGUACCCGGAGAAGAAGCCCCGGCUAACUUCGUGCCAGCAGCCGCGGUAAUACGAAGGGGGCUAGCGUUGCUCGGAAUUACUGGGCGUAAAGGGCGCGUAGGCGGACAGUUUAGUCAGAGGUGAAAGCCCAGGGCUCAACCUUGGAAUUGCCUUUGAUACUGGCUGUCUGGAGUACGGGAGAGGUGAGUGGAACUCCGAGUGUAGAGGUGAAAUUCGUAGAUAUUCGGAAGAACACCAGUGGCGAAGGCGACUCACUGGCCCAAUACUGACGCUGAGGCGCGAAAGCGUGGGGAGCAAACAGGAUUAGAAACCCGUGUAGUCC
rnacentral:rRNA from 1 species